rnacentral:rRNA from 1 species
CCUACGGGAGGCUGCAGUGGGGAAUAUUGGGCAAUGGAGGCAACUCUGACCCAGCAACGCCGCGUGAAUGAUGAAGGUCUUCGGAUUGUAAAGUUCUGUGAUGAGGGAUGAACACAAUGACGGUACCCCAAUAGCAAGCCACGGCUAACUACGUACCAGCCGCCGCGGUAAUACGGAGGUGGCAAGCGUUAUCCGGAAUGACUGGGCGUAAAGGGGGCGUAGGUGGUUUAGUAAGUUGGCGGUGUACUUCCGGGGCUCAACGUCGGCGCUACCGCGAACACUAUUAGACUAGAGUGCAGGAGGGGUAAGUGGAAUUCCUGGUGUAGCGGUGGAAUGCGUAGAUAUUAGGAGGAACACCAGGGGCGAAGGCGACUUACUGGACUGUAACUGACACUGAGGCACGAAAGCGUGGGGAGCAAACAGGAUUAGAUACCCGGGUAGUC